UACAGAGGUGGCAAGCGUUGUUCGGAAUUACUGGGCGUAAAGGGCGCGUAGGCGGUCCUGUAAGUCCUGUGUGAAAUCCCCCGGCUCAACUGGGGAAUUGCACGGGAAACUGCGGGGCUUGAGUUCGGGAGAGGGAAGCGGAAUUCCGGGUGUAGCGGUGAAAUGCGUAGAGAUCCGGAAGAACACCGGUGGCGAAGGCGGCCUGCUGGGACAUGGCUGACGCUGAGGCGCGACAGCGUGGGGAGCAAACAGG
rnacentral:rRNA from 1 species